rnacentral:rRNA from 1 species
GUGGGGAAUAUUGGACAAUGGGGGAAACCCUGAUCCAGCGACGCCGCGUGAGUGAAGAAGUAUUUCGGUAUGUAAAGCUCUAUCAGCAGGGAAGAAAAUGACGGUACCUGACUAAGAAGCCCCGGCUAACUACGUGCCAGCAGCCGCGGUAAUACGUAGGGGGCAAGCGUUAUCCGGAUUUACUGGGUGUAAAGGGAGCGUAGACGGCAUUGCAAGUCUGAUGUGAAAGAUUGGGGCUCAACCCCAGGCCUGCAUUGGAAACUGUAAAGCUGGAGUACAGGAGAGGUAAGCGGAAUUCCUAGUGUAGCGGUGAAAUGCGUAGAUAUUAGGAGGAACACCAGUGGCGAAGGCGGCUUACUGGACUGUAACUGACGUUGAGGCUCGAAAGCGUGGGGAGCAAACAGGAUUAGAAACCCGGGUAGUCC